GAUACGGUCGCGAAGCUACUUCGUAGUGAACAUACGGGUUUAUCCUACACACUAUGGGGAAAGUCUCCGUGCGUUUAAUGCCGAAAGGGCACAAGGGGAAUCCACAGCGGUUGCCGUGAUUGUCUCAUUGCUUGACACUCGCUGCUUCACUUUUCGCCGUUUGGUACUUCCAUGCAUCCGAAAGUCAAUGUAGCUGGCGCUUUGCGCUCACCCAAUGGAGCUUAUCUGCGUACCGUAU
rnacentral:RNase_MRP_RNA from 2 species